rnacentral:lncRNA from 1 species
CAGAAGGGAGGAAGCGUAAGGGGAAGGGUGUGGAACAUGGUCAGGGCCUGAAACUGUCUCCAUCUUCAACUGCAGGGGCCUGGCCAUCCCAAAAACAAAGGCAGGAAUGACAUCUGAGCAGCAAAGAAGCACAUCCAUUGAACAGACAAUGAAGCCCCGGGAAAAAGAUUUGAUAAUCACUGAAACCCUGUGGGAGCAGGAGUCCCGUUUGUGGUGUUUGGUUUCACAGCUGUUGAACCCCUCAGUGCUAAGGGGCCGCCACGGACUCGUCAGCGCAGCUUUGGCCUCUCCCGUGGGCUCGACGUGCGUGGGCUCAACGCGCCGCAGCUGUGCUCUGAUCCCCCACGUCAGGCAUGUACGCCGGGCUAUUCUCAAACCAGUGACUUCUCAUUAGUGAUGCUCAAGGCCAGGGGGAUGUGGAUUGACACAUCUAAGGUCCUGAAAGUAAAUAACUGCCAACCAAGAUCUCUAGAUACAGCAAUGCUUUCUUUUUUUUUUUUAAUUAACAGACAAAUAAAAGCAGAUCAAGACUCUGUAUUCAAAGUC